rnacentral:ncRNA from 1 species
GAGAAUCUUACUUUUUCUUAAUGUUCUGUAGUGAUCAAGCAAUGUAGUGACAGGAUGUCACUACAAGCAAAAAACUGAGACAUGGAUGUCGAAUUUUUUGCGGUUGCGGGAAUAAAAGAUAAUAUGGCAGAACAUUUAGAAAUUGUUAGAUUCGAA